AAAGCAGCCUUGUCAUACGCCCUCGCUGCUUCCUCGGCUGUUUCAAAUGUCCCUAGCCAAACUCGAGCACCUUUCCUCGACGAGUCUCGUAUCUCCGCGGCGUACUUUCCCCAUGGCCGCCUCCUUACUCCGCGGUAAUGCCUGGUCGUUGCCACCUUAUCUACUCUCAUGGAACACACUUUACUGCUUGUUUUAUCAUUACAUGAUUGGUCUAUUUUGUUGCCUGAAGGAAUAAUCCCAUCAAGAAGACCCUCCCAAGCAUCAGCUCCCAUUGAUAUCCACCUCCCAAGACUUGGCAGU
rnacentral:lncRNA from 1 species